UGAUACUGUCCCUUCUGGUCCCGAUAAUCAACCCCAAUUGGUGUUGUCUUGGACCUGCAAUAUGAAGUAGAUGCUAAUAGUACAGCAUUUGCAUAAUUGAGAAGAUCAGCUGCAAUGUGUCUUUUCCCUGUAACAUCAAAAGUUGAGCCACCAAUCUUUUUACCCAACAAGUGAUCCAAACUAUACCCAUUAUAGGGAUUAACCCCAACCUCGAAGAACCAAUCUCUAACAGCGGACUGCCAGUUCCUAAGAUCAGGCCUAAACACAAUUGCCUUCUCAACCCAGUCA
rnacentral:misc_RNA from 1 species